UCGUACGCUUCUUUUUCCACCGGAGCUUGCUCCACCGGAAAAAGAAGAGUGGCGAACGGGUGAGUAACACGUGGGUAACCUGCCCAUCANAAGGGGAUAACACUUGGAAACAGGUGCUAAUACCGUAUAACAAUCGAAACCGCAUGGUUUUGAUUUGAAAGGCGCUUUCGGGUGUCGCUGAUGGAUGGACCCGCGGUGCAUUANCUAGUUGGUGAGGUAACGGCUCACCAAGGCCACGAUGCAUAGCCGACCUGAGAGGGUGAUCGGCCACAUUGGGACUGAGACACGGCCCAAACUCCUACGGGAGGCAGCAGUAGGGAAUCUUCGGCAAUGGACGAAAGUCUGACCGAGCAACGCCGCGUGAGUGAAGAAGGUUUUCGGAUCGUAAAACUCUGUUGUUAGAGAAGAACAAGGAUGAGAGUAACUGUUCAUCCCUUGACGGUAUCUAACCANAAAGCCACGG
rnacentral:rRNA from 1 species